GACGAACGCUGGCGGCGUGCUUAACACAUGCAAGUCGAACGGUGAAAGCGGAGCUUGCUCCGCUGGAUCAGUGGCGAACGGGUGAGUAACACGUGGGCAACCUGCCCCUGACUUCGGGAUAACUCCUCGAAAGAGGUGCUAAUACCGGAUACGAAUCCUGCAGGCAUCUGCGGGAUUGGAAAGUUUUUCGGUGAGGGAUGGGGCCGCGGCCUAACAGCUUGUUGGUGCGGUAGUGGGUCACCAAGGCGACGACGGGUAGCCGGCCUGAGAGGGCGACCGGCCACACUGGGACUGAGAAACUGCCCAGACUCCUACGGGAGGCAGCAGUGGGGAAUAUUGCGCAAUGGGCGAAAGCCUGACGCAGCAACGCCGCGUGAGGGAUGACGGCCUUCGGGUUGUAAACCUCUUUCAGCAGGGAAGAAGCGAAAGUGACGGUACCUGCAGAAGAAGCACCGGCUAACUACGUGCCAGCAGCCGCCGUAACAC
rnacentral:rRNA from 1 species